CAAUAGCGUAUAUUAAAGUUGUUGCAGUUAAAAAGCUCGUAGUUGGAUUUCUGGUAGGAGUGACCGUUCCGAACUUGAUUGUUCGUGUAUUGUGUUUUCUCCAGCCAUCCUUGUGGAGAACUUUUCUUGCAUUAAUUUGUAGGGAUUGGGACCCGCAUCGUUUACUGUGAAAAAAUUAGAGUGUUUAAAGCAGGCAAUCGCUUGAAUACAUUAGCAUGGAAUAAUAAGAUAGGACUUUGGUACUAUUUUGUUGGUUUGCAUACCAAAUUAAUGAUCAACAGGAACAGUUUGAGGAUAUUCGUAUGAACAUGUCAGAGGUGAAAUUCUUGGAUUUUGAUCAGACUAACUACUGCGAAAGCAUUUAUCAAGGAUGUUUUCAUUAA
rnacentral:rRNA from 1 species